GUCUCGAUAGCUAAGUGGUUAUAGCAUGAGAUUGCAAAUCUCGGGGUCCGGUGUUCAAAUCACCGUCGGGACU
rfam:Agaricus bisporus var. burnettii JB137-S8 unplaced genomic scaffold AGABI1scaffold_12, whole genome shotgun sequence.